GUUUCAGCAGAUCCAACAGGAAGUCCACCUGAGUCCAGUCAUCCAGCUGUGACAGACCACACACAGGCGGCUGCUUCAGCCACUGAACAGUACAACCCAUCUGGUCAGGG